rnacentral:lncRNA from 1 species
UUGUUGCAGCCCAAAUUUCAAAUUGGGCUGCAUUAUUGAUUGGUAAUACUAUGCAAGUAGGGGGACUAGCGGAUGCGGGUGCAAACAAUUCAUUUAGGGUUCUAAUAUGUUCACCCAUUGUAGAGAUCGACGAUUGGUUUACAGUUCGCAAGUUGUGAUGAAAAGUUCUGUCAAUCUCAGGAUCAAAUGGGGUUAACUUAU